rnacentral:rRNA from 2 species
CUUUGAUUCUGGCUCAGGAUGAACGCUAGCUACAGGCUUAACACAUGCAAGUCGAGGGGCAGCGGGAUUGAAGCUUGCUUCAAUUGCCGGCGACCGGCGCACGGGUGAGUAACGCGUAUCCAACCUUCCGUACACUCAGGGAUAGCCUUUCGAAAGAAAGAUUAAUACCUGAUGGUAUGAUGAGAUUGCAUGAUAGCAUCAUUAAAGAUUUAUCGGUGUACGAUGGGGAUGCGUUCCAUUAGGUAGUAGGCGGGGUAACGGCCCACCUAGCCAACGAUGGAUAGGGGUUCUGAGAGGAAGGUCCCCCACAUUGGAACUGAGACACGGUCCAAACUCCUACGGGAGGCAGCAGUGAGGAAUAUUGGUCAAUGGACGAGAGUCUGAACCAGCCAAGUAGCGUGAAGGAUGAAGGUCCUACGGAUUGUAAACUUCUUUUAUAAGGGAAUAAACCCUCCCACGUGUGGGAGCUUGUAUGUACCAUAUGAAUAAGCAUCGGCUAACUCCGUGCCAGCAGCCGCGGUAAUACGGAGGAUGCGAGCGUUAUCCGGAUUUAUUGGGUUUAAAGGGAGCGCAGACGGGUCGUUAAGUCAGCUGUGAAAGUUUGGGGCUCAACCUUAAAAUUGCAGUUGAUACUGGCGUCCUUGAGUGCGGUUGAGGUGUGCGGAAUUCGUGGUGUAGCGGUGAAAUGCUUAGAUAUCACGAAGAACUCCGAUUGCGAAGGCAGCACACUAAUCCGUAACUGACGCUCAUGCUCGAAAGUGUGGGUAUCAAACAGGAUUAGAUACCCUGGUAGUCCACACGGUAAACGAUGGAUACUCGCUGUUGGCGAUAUACUGUCAGCGGCUUAGCGAAAGCGUUAAGUAUCCCACCUGGGGAGUACGCCGGCAACGGUGCAACUCAAAGGAAUUGACGGA